rnacentral:rRNA from 1 species
CAGCAGCCGCGGUAAUACGGAAGGCGCGAGCGUUACCCGGAUUUACUGGGCGUAAAGGGCGUGUAGGCGGCCUGGGGCGUCCCAUGUGAAAGGCCACGGCUCAACCGUGGAGGAGCGUGGGAUACGCUCAGGCUAGAGGGUGGGAGAGGGUGGUGGAAUUCCCGGAGUAGCGGUGAAAUGCGCAGAUACCGGGAGGAACGCCGAUGGCGAAGGCAGCCACCUGGUCCAUUUCUGACGCUGAGGCACGAAAGCGUGGGGAGCAAACAGGAUUAGAUACCCCCGUAGUCCCUGUCUCUUAUAC